AGGCGUCAUUGUUUCUGUUUCUUGUUUGUGUGCUGUUUGUGUUUCUUGUUUUGUAUUAUGUUCUGUUCUGUUUAUUUUAUUAAAACACUCACUCCCUGAACUUGCUUCCAGACUUUCAGAGCACAUCGUUAUAGAAUGACGCCUCACCUAGUGAAGCAUCAGGGAGUGUUUAUUCAUUUUUUUACAAUUUAUUUUUUGGGUGGGAAUGACGUCGGGUCCGGGAGCCGUACAGGCUCUCAUGCUUUAGACAGAUUGCCAGGCUCCCCUGCCUCCGCCGGCUCGUCAGGCUCUCAUGCUUCAGCCGGAUUGCCAGGCUCCCCUGCCUCAGCUGGUCUGUCAGGUUCCCUCGCUCCAGCCAGCGACAGGUUCAACUGAUGAUGAAGAUUGCAACAGAGAACCUGCUGACACAGGAGCUGUGCAUGAAGGAGGAGGUGUACCAUCAGAGCCUCAUCAAGCCACUGCACAUACGGAUCAGCAGGUGAGAAAGGUGUCGGAGCGUUACCAACCGUAUGGGCACCUCAACGACGAAAGGGCGCACAUGAACGUGGCGGUGAUUGUGGCUGGGAACUCCUUGGUUAACCUGAAGUGCUCCCUUUUGCUAGAGAAUGCUCCCUCGGUUGACAGCGGGCGCUUUGUGGGCAUGGCAACUCAACUGGAGUACGAGGCACAUUGCACAGAAGCUGUCUGUGAAGACUGCAGAUGUGACAGAUGUCAUCGGUUGAGGCAACAUCAGCGGCAGUUCCCAUGUUGACCUACAGAGGGCGAAGGUUUUCCAAUACAAAGGGGCCAUCUGGGGACCAUCAGAUUUUUCUCAACCAGUCCUAGAGAUUAUAUAUGACAGGAAAUGGCUACAGUCUGACUUCCUGAAUUUGGUCAGUUCCCAACGUGCCACAGUAGCCUCCAAGUCCCAGAGGGCUACAGCCAUAUCAGCCACUAAUAGGAUGAUUGCAGUUCUAAAGGCCUGGAACUGCAACUCUUCUGCUAAGGAGGUCCUCUCCUUUGGCAUACUCAGCACAGGACAUUACAACCUCCCAGCUGGUGUAGUAUUCUCAAUGCCAGUGAGCCUCCAGGAUGGUAGAUGGUCCGUGUUGUCUGAUGUAAUUGGUGAUGCUGCAGAUUGCUGCAGACCAACUCAGGGAUUGCUGCAGACCAACUGAGUAUAGUAACUAGGACACAGACACAGCAAUCACAUUGUGUCUCAUAGCUUAGUAUGCUUCUGUGCCAGUGUUUUUAGAUUAUUUCCCAGGACCUUUAAUAUUUCAAUUGAAACCAAUUAAAUCCCAAAUAUUUUUAUGAGGGAGGCACAGUGGUAAGAGUGUGUGUGUGUGUCUGUGGGGGCAGGGGAAACAUCUGUACUGCAUUGCCCUCAUUCCUUUGGAUUAAUUGAUUUUUCAUGAACUUUAAUUGCAAAGUAAUGUUUCUUUUGUGUUUAUACUAUUUUGUUUACACUAUCCCUAGGAGAAAGAUCUUGCAUCAAGGACAAGAAAAGACACUGCAUGAAUUUACACUAGUUUCUGACGCACUUCCUGUCAGAGUUGUAAUAUGUUUUGUUCAAAAUAAACAAUGCUCUUUAUACUUUUUGAUAAAGACAUCUGAUAUUUAU